UCCCUGGAGAGGUCUCAGCUCUCACUGAGAUGCACCCAGAGCCUAUUAGGUCACUGGAACGGCUUCUGAUUCAAAGCUUUUCUGAGUGAAACAGUCACUCAACAAGUUUGGAAAACCAUAAAACAGAAGAACGAUCGAUGUUAAAUACUAAGACAGCACUACACUUAUCAAUAACUAAAUGGAACCAAAUACCCUCCUAGAGAAACGGCUUCGAGUUUUUAUAUGAACCUACUGGAAGAUGUGCUUCAGCAAAGUGAGAGUGUAAACCAAGAAAAAAGAUGUGGACUCCAGAAGGCAGAAGCUCUGACCCUGGAGAGAGGCAGAGGGAGCCUGGAUGACAGCCGGGCAGCAGGCCCACAGCACACAGUGCACACUGGAGCCACGGAGAGGUGGGAGAAGCCAAGAAACAAACGGAACAGAUGGGGUGUUCAGAACUAUGUCCGGCAGUUAAAAAAAAUUAUUUCUAGGUAUGUGCCACAUUUGUUGGGGGAGUAGGGAAAAACUGAACAAGAGACACAUAGAAAACUAAGCAAAUGGACAUAUAGUCAUUGUUUACUCCAUGAGUGGGGGAAAGUUGUAAAAGAGAGAAAAUGUAAACAGACAACACAAGUUGGUCCAGAAGUGAUUAUGUACAUAGUUAAAAUAACGUAAAUAACCAAUGUUUAUUUAACCAAAUACGAGAUAUGAUUACAUUAUGAAGAUGGAGGGAAGGGAUAUGUUUGUUGGGUGGGAGCCGUGGGGGUGAAGUAAAAGCUUAAUCUUCAAAUACCAAAAUAAAAAAGUUAACAGGUCUAAAAUCCAUAAAUCAGUAAAUAGCGUAAUAAGCAUAUUGUUUAGAAACAUAGAGGUAAAUAUCAGAAGACUAUGAGAAAUGAAAGGUAUUGGCUGGCUGUGGGGCAAAGUAUUGGGAUAAAUAGAGGGGUUGGGCAGAGGACUUAAAUAUUUCCUUGAAAGCCUUUUGGUUCUACUUGAAUUUUAUACCAUGUAAACAUUAUUUUGAUAAAAAUUUUAAAUAGUUAAUAUUUUAGCAAAUAUUUAAAUAGUGUGAAAUACAAUUAAAACCUGUAUUUUACAAAUUUAAAUAAUGGAA